rnacentral:lncRNA from 1 species
AAAAAAAACCAUUUAUAUUACCAAUUUGUUUUUUUGUUUUUAAUUUGUUUAUGUGUAUAUUCAGUUAUGACAUUAUAUAUAUUUUUAAAAUUUUUUUUUUAUUUCUUUUUAACUAUUUUUAUCAUAUUGUUUGUAUUUUAUUAUAAUAACAAUUAUUACGAUGAUUAUAAAUUCGAUGAAGAUAGUUACUAUAGGAACAAAAGUCAUAAUAACAACAUUUAUAGGUGCUCUGUAAAUGUGCCAGUAGCCAUCGAUAUAAUGAUUACACAUCUUACGAAUAAUAUAAAUUAUUAUUUUAAUAAUAAAGAGUAUAACAAAAAAAUUCACAAAAUUAAAGAUAAUGACAUGCUUAUACAACAUAUAGUUUCUUGUGAAGAUUUAAAUAUUAAUGAAAACAAUAACUUUUUUUUUUUUUUUAUUUUAAAAUUUUGUAAACCAAGAAUAUACUAUCGCACACAAUAUAUAAAGCAGCGAUUAAAUAGUGAUGUACAAAAUGAAAAAAUUAAUCAACAUCGUCGUUCUUAUUUGUUUAUACAAUGUACAAAUGAAAAUGCCUAUAAAAUAUUUCGGACAGGUAGUAGCACAGGUAGUAGCACUGGUAGUUGCACUGGUAGUUGCAUAUAUAACCAUACACCUGACAAUAGCACUAUACACAAUCAACUAUUACAUGACGCCAUUUAUAACAAUCACAUGUUCAAACAAGGACAUAAUGGAAGUAAUAAAAAGGCUGAAUUAGACGCACAAUACAAAACCAAUAACCGUAGUGCACAAAAUAACGAGAAGGAAAAAACAGAAAAUCAAAUUUUCGAACACUUAAAAAAUAAAGAUUCAGUUUUAAACACUUUAAAAAAAUUGUUACAAACACAGUUUAAACAAAAUGAUCAGACUAUGCGUUUGUUUUCUUUAAUUAAUAAUAAAUUAAUUUUUUUUUUUAAAAAACUAAAAAAGUAUUACUUGUCUGAAUAUAUUACAGCACAUGGUUUCGACGUAUUUUUAAUUGAGGAAAAAGAAAAAAAUAUAUGCACUGUAAAUCUGUUUUCAAGCCAUAACUACGAUAUGUAUAUUUUAAAUGACCAGUUAAAUUAUGAAAGGUGUUACAAUAUAUGUAAAAGAUUACUAUCAAGAGUGAAUUUCCAGUUGUUAAAUGCAGGUGACAAAUAAAAAAAAAAACGGGAAGUAGGAUGAGCAAAUGGGUAGAUAAAUAAAAUAAAAAAUUAAUAACA